GCCCUUCACUAUAAAGCAAGGGCGCAGUGUGCGCCUUGCUGGGAAAAAAAAGGGGCCAUCCGGCCCUUUUCUUUUCUUCUUACCUGAAGAGGCAGUGCCUCUUCUCCUUAUUUUUCUCUUAUGGAUUUUUAUAGAAAAUCUUUGAUCUACGAAGAUCCAACGGUCCGAUCUUCGAUCCGACUUGGGUAACGUGAUCUACGAAGUUCGAUCUACGUUUUUACAGAUCGUCUUGAGAUUUUGGGUAGUUUAGAGUUGCUAGGAGCUUCCCGAGCAUUUGGUCUUUGCUUGGCGAAUUUUUGUGAUACAUUGCAAGGUGAUGUCUAGGAGACCUAGUGCUUAAUAUCCGCGCAGCCAGGUUAUGAACAGAGAGACUUAGGCGGCCGGGAUGGGAUCUAGGAUUUGCAUUAGAUCAUUGCAUCUCAAUUACCUUAAUAAGUGCACUUGCACAACAAAUUUAGCUUUUCUUUAAAUUCUCAGUUAUUGAAACUUUCAUAAUUAAAUUUUCGAAAUAACCGUUUCCGCAUUUAUUAAAGCUCUGAGUUUUAAAAUCUUUAUUAUUUAUCGUUAUUAAAUUCAGCAUAUUAGCUAGGUUGUUGGCAGACCUUACGAAUCUUUGCAGUUUUUAAAAAUAAAAAGACGAACCUAACCCUUAGCGGUUUGGGGGCGUUACAGUUUUGGUAUCAGAGCAAGAUACCGAGAAAAAGAGAAAAAGAAUGGAGAUUUUAAAAUCUCCAUUCUUUUUCUCGCAAUGGAACUUCUACGUAUGGGUCUAACUGCAUAGUAUGUUUUAAAGGUUUUCUGAUAGUCGGUGUAGACUAUAUCAGCUAUGGGGGUUUUCAAACAAAAUUCUAUAAAUUGGUAGCUGUUAUAGUGUACACGAGACUAAAAAGAAAAGUUUGUUCAUUUGGAAAAACUCAGUUAGUUUAAUAUCACUGAGGUCUCGGUAUUAUGUACUGAGGCGGUGAACUAAUACUUUCGGUUAGUAUUGUUUGAGUUUUAGUUAGUGUUUAGGAUUUAUGGGUAGGCGUUUGGAACCCUUAAAAUAUUAUAGUUUUUCCAACGGUUUAGCCUUGAGCGAUUCAAGUGCUAAUUAGGGUGUUAAUUACUUAAUGUGCUAAAUAGUGCAAUGUGUUAUUUCACAGUGAUACAUUGCAAGGUGAUGUCUAGGAGACCUAGUGCUUAAUAUCCGCGCAGCCAGAAAAUCCUUGAUCUACGAAGAUCCAAUGGUCCGAUCUUCGAUCCGACUUGGGUAACGUGAUUUACGAAGCUCGAUCUACGUUUUUACCGAUCGUCUUGAGAUUUUGGGUAGUUUGGAGUUGCUAGGAGCUUCCCGAGCAUUUGGUCUUUGCUUGGCGAAUUUUUGUAUUCAGGGUGCUUCUUCUGUUGCAAAUAUGGCUCGACGUCUGCAAGUUCGGGGAAAUGAAAUUCAAGCGCAGAAAGCUCAAAUUUCGACUUUGCAGCGAAUGUAUAUGGACUUUAGGCGAAGAAAUCGGGUUCUUCAACGAGAAAAUAAAGAGCUCAAGAAACUUGUAGACUCAUAUGCGAAUGACCUGGGAAAGAGAUAUACUGAUUUGGAGCAGAACACUAAUCGUCUCCGAGAUCAACACAAGGAUCUCUUGCUUGCGGUCCAAAACCUUAGGGUUUUCCGCCCAAAAACUUAGCCAGGUAUAAGCAUACCGAACUCUCCGGGAAUGAUGCAGAAAAGGUCCGAUUUGCAAGUCUAUGGUUUUCUUUGAAUCACCAGUAGUCUAUCUUAACCAAGAUGGAAGACACAAUACCCAUCAAGCUUCACUCACACACACACCUAAGGCCAAGAGAGAAAAUUGUGGGAUUUGUGUAGUUUUGUGUGGUUUAAGGCUUGAAGUAUGUGCAAGGAAGUAUUUUGGUAAAAGCUCGAUCCCGAUGCUAAUGGAAAGUCCAAGUUAUGAACAGAGAGACCUAGGCGGCCGGAAUGGGAUCUAGGAAUGCAUUAGAAUAUUGCAUUUAUGUUUUCUUAAUAAGUGCACUUGCACAACAAAUUUAGUUUUCUUUGGAUUUUUAAUUAUUAAAUCAAAAAUAAUUGUUUAUUUCGAAAUAACCGUUUCCGCAUUUAUUAAAAGCUCUGAGUUUUAAAAUCA